UUUUUUUUGGUUUCACACUUGAGCUUUAAUUGGCCUAAACUGAACCUUGUCCCCUCCAGUUUGUUCCAUAUUAUCCUCUAAAAUCUUGGGCAUUUAUCUACCUUUUCAUUUGCUGUGUGCUAUACGGAGCAAACAUGAAAAUUAACUAAGAUCACUGCACUAAUUAAUCCUGCAGAUUGUAAAGUUAACUUGACUAGUUGAUAACACUGACUGUGAGAUGUGUGGCUGCAUUUGGCAAAUUGAUAUAGUUUAUUGUCUAACAUGUCGCAACUCCGAGUAAUUUGUUAUGAACUGUCUUAUUUCUCUGGAGCAUAGCAGAAAGCUGGCUGUCCUUAGUUAGUAUAAAAUAUUGAAUGUUGGUGUGAAGUACAAACAUGUUGCUCAUGGUUAGUAUUAGUUAAGACACCCAUCAACCACCUUGUACUGUUUUCUUGAUAUGUUUGUAUGCAACAUUCUUCUCUUUUAACUCGUCCAGUUUACCGCUAUUGUUCUAUUUGGUAGUAAUGUGGAUGAUAUGUCUACAGUUGUAUUUGCCAACC
rnacentral:lncRNA from 1 species